UUUGGGAGACCGAGGCAGAACGAUUGUUUGAGCCCAGGAGCUUGAGGCUGCAAUGAGCAAGAAGGAGAACUUAGCUGUAUUUCUCCGGCUGCUUUGAGAAUAGUCUGGGGAGUGGGGGGAGUUAGGAAGAGGAAGGUGAGAAAGGGAAAAGCAGGGAGACCGGCUGGGAGGCCACUAGGUAAUCCAAGUGAGAGAUGAUGAUGGCUGGGACCAGGCUGGUAGCAAUAGAAGUUCUGAGAAGCAGGAAGAUUAUGGAUCUGUUUUGAAGAUGGACGAAGAAGCAGAGACAAUUUGAACUGGGGAGAGAGGGAAGUUGCAGGAGCUCCUGUCAAACAACAUUUUUCUCAGUUUGGACUGUGUCAGUUCUUUUAGGCUGACUGAUGGUGCCAUGGACGCCAUGUUAACCUUGGUGACCUGCAUGGAAACUCCAGAUGAGUUCCUGGAAAGUCUAAGUAACUGGAAGACCAUGAAAAGGGGAAGAAAUGAUCAAUCCCUGCAGCACCUACUUAACUUUGAGACAUUCUGCAUUGUUUCUUAUUCCGGCCUCAAUUGACAAGGCUAUUGGACUUUGUAGCGGACCUGGCCAACCUCGUGAUGUCACACCCUACAACCCCCUCACAGCUUGCAAACCAAUGACCCCAGUUUGCAAAAAACUGCCCUAAACUGUAACUUUCCACUGUCCACCCCAAACCCACAAAACCAACACGUAUCCCACUGCCCUUCGCUGACGCACUUUUCAGCCUCAGUCCACCUGCACCUGGGUGAAUAA